rnacentral:rRNA from 1 species
GAUGAACGCUGGCGGCGUGCCUAAUACAUGCAAGUCGAGCGAACAGACGAGGAGCUUGCUCCUCUGACGUUAGCGGCGGACGGGUGAGUAACACGUGGAUAACCUACCUAUAAGACUGGGAUAACUUCGGGAAUCCGGAGCUAAUACCGGAUAAUAUAUUGAACCGCAUGGUUCAAUAGUGAAAGACGGUUUUGCUGUCACUUAUAGAUGGAUCCGCGCCGCAUUAGCUAGUUGGUAAGGUAACGGCUUACCAAGGCAACGAUGCGUAGCCGACCUGAGAGGGUGAUCGGCCACACUGGAACUGAGACACGGUCCAGACUCCUACGGGAGGCAGCAGUAGGGAAUCUUCCGCAAAGGGCGAAAGCCUGACGGAGCAACGCCGCGUGAGUGAUGAAGGUCUUCGGAUCGUAAAACUCUGUUAUUAGGGAAGAACAAAUGUGUAAGUAACUAUGCACGUCUUGACGGUACCUAAUCAGAAAGCCACGGCUAACUACGUG